rfam:Triticum aestivum genome assembly, contig: Triticum_aestivum_CS42_TGACv1_scaffold_049697_1BS
GCUAGGAAGAGGAAGAAAGAGAGGUCCUAAGAGCAAUGGGAAUGAGAACAUAGAGGAAAAACUAAUUUACCGGUUCUUCACCUCUUGUGUUCAGGUGGAAAUCCCGUUUGGUAUUUCCUAAUGCCUCUCAUUCCUAUUGUUCUUAAGCGCUUCCUCCCUCUUCCUUUUUUUU